rnacentral:rRNA from 1 species
AUUGAACGCUGGCGGCAGGCUUAACACAUGCAAGUCGAACGAGUGGCGGACGGGUGAGUUAUGUCUGGUAAACUGCCUGAUGGAGGGGGAUAACUACUGGAAACGGUAGCUAUUAUCGUAUACUAUCGGAUGUUUGCAGAUGGGUUUAGCUAGUAGGUGGGGUAAAGGCUCACCUAGGCGACGAUCCCUAGCUGGUCUGAGAGGAUGACCAGCCACACUGGAACUGAGACACGGUCCAGACUCCUACGGGAGGCAGCAGUGGGGAAUAUUGCACAAUGGGCGCAAGCCUGAUGCAGCCAUGCCGCGUGUAUGAAGAAGGCCUUCGGGUUGUAAAGUACUUUCAGCGGGGAGGCGUUACCCGCAGAAGAAGCACCGGCUAACUCCGUGCCAGCAGCCGCGGUAAUUC